rnacentral:piRNA from 1 species
UAAAGAGAAUCUAUAAGUCUGAGCCAUUUU